GGCGCGACGACGAAGGGCGGUGGCACCGGUCGCGCGGAUCGCUGAGGUGACACCUGAUAUCGCGACCAACGAAUACCUUCGCCAACAGAACUUUCUCUCCGGACCUGCGACUGUAGAUAAAAUUCGAUAUUUCAGGGACAAGGAGGAGGGCAACAGGGACAAGGAGGUGCUCAAAGAAAACUGAGCGUGAGUAGUACAAUGAUGUAUAGCUGCAGUUUUAUUUGUAUAUACAUUUUCUUAUAAGUAUUUUAUUCUCAAUAAUCAUCUGAGUUAAUAUACAUGUAAAAUUUCCUUGCGUAUUUCACUGGUUGCCGUGGACGUGCCUGAAUUUAAAUGAAAAUCAUUUAUAUUCGUGCACCGUGCUUCUAUUACUCCCUACUGUCUUACAUAUCUCUUCAUUUUUUUUUCUUCAUCUUAAUGCGUUAUACACCAGCUAAAAAGGAUACUGCCGUCUAUAGGUAUUUUCUAAGUUCGCCCAUUAAUAUUCAUGGCUUAGCGCGUCUGUGGCUACCUCCGUGGAUUACAAAUAGGUGCGCAGAGAAGACUAAACAACUCGACGGGUCGGUCAGACGCGUCAUUCUGCAUCCACACUUCGUAUUAUCUCCCGUACGAUUAAAUACAAUCGAACGUCUUACACUGGAAGUACCAAAACCGCCGUCUAUCGCUUCGCUACUUUUCGCGAUUGAUGUCUGCUGCUUCUCUGCAUACCACGUUAUCGCUUCGCCCUGCUAUCUUUCACCACCGCGAUGCCAAAUGCGUCCAUUUCUCUGUCCCGGAUACGUUCGUUCACGCGAUAAAAUUCCGGCGAUUUCGAAAAUAAGCCCCCACCCUCGCGUUCAGCCUCUAUUUUCACUGCCUUCAUGAUUUUCUUUGGUAUGCAUGUAUGUAUGUAUGUACGUGUAUGUACCUGGCCAAUUGCCGUGGAUGGUAAUGCAUAUUGUACGAUGUUACGUAAUCCUUACAGCCCUUACAGUCAUUAUCAUCCCGCUGCGCUAUUACAACUCUCCUUUGUAAAAUUGUACAUUCGGUUAUGAUAAAAAUCUGUUAAUGCUAGAUCGCAAGAUCGCAACGGCCACUUUUAACGGCUGGUGAACGUCAAGUUGACAAUUCGACUGUUACAUCCCUUUGACUUCUAUCUUCUCGUAUCAUUCCUCUAUCCCUGCGGCAAUCAGCAGUGAUCGGUACUGAAUUCUUUACCUAGAAAAAGGCUGCUGUGAUACAAAUACAGAGAUAUUUGCCGGUCCUUCUAAAGUUAGAUACCUUACUUCUAUGUCACAUUCGUCAUCCAAGAGUUAAUCAACGAUCAGGCUGACAGGUUCUCCGAUUUCGAUCACGUUUCGACAUUACAGAUGUAACGAGAUUGCAGAUGUAAUGAGAUAUAACGUGCAAUUUGCAACUCUCGCGGUUACUCGGUAUCAAUCAGCCUAAUGAUACAAGUCUUGCAUCAAAUCCUAAAUGCGUUCUGCUCGCAAACGAGCAUCGAUUGAGACAGAUUACACAGGAUAGACACGAUGUUAAAAA